AAGACGACCUGAAGACGACUCCCACAGAAGACCCCAGAUAGAGAGACUUCGGAAUGAAGGCUCCUGAACUAGGAAGGCAGACAUGCUUCAAGAGGACGGCCUGCCAGGGCUUACCUCCCAGGCUGCAAUGCACUAACCAUGCACGGGGCCUGGUUGUGAGGAGAAUGGCAUUUCCCGUGAUGCCUGCCAGCAUACCAUAUUCAAGAUUCCCAUUGUGGCUGUGGAUCUACUGACCCUCUUGUACUGCACUCACUCAUCUUGCAAUGAAGUGAGAAGAUAAAAUGUCUACGUGAUGAGAUGCAGUGACGUGUAUGACUAGGCACUCUGACUAGUGUUGGACUACUAGUGACCUUCCGACCAUAGGUUAAAAGGUGAUCAUCCCCUUCUCCAUUGCAGUUGACCACAGGCCACCAUCGUCCUAAAACCUAACUCCAAAGAAAGGAUACUUGCUGGGCAAAAGUUACUAGAGAGGAUGUCAGGAAUAUAUACAUAAAGUGAAAUGGUCGAUUUUCUUUAGACCAGUGUCAGGGCACUUGGAAAAAUCCUGGGACCUUGAAUGGAAGGAAUCAUUCCUUUAACGGUCAUGGAAAUGGUGGGCAGACUGAUCACUGGGCAUAAUUAUCUGAGGUAGCCCCCAAACCAUUUCCUACUCCAAUUGGUCUGAGGGAUUAUAAAACAUACAAUAGUAAUAGAACUAAAAAUGUUCAGUUAUUUUCUGUCAUGGUGCAAUACAGGCCCCCUCCCCAUUGUGCAGCAUUUUCCUUACUUUCUAGAAGAUGAAGAGAAUUGUUGCACAAGUCUAUAGAAGCACAGUAAAUUUUCUACCAGUCUGAUUAAACUGCUACUACCAGGUAGGAAAAACCUUGUGCAGAGAAAAAAAUCAAACAGUUUAAGGCUCAUCUUACGCCAAAGGAUUCUGUAUAUUAAGCUUGAAUGUCCCCUGAUCUGUUUCCUCUGCCCUUCUAUAGAAACCUCGGGCUAUUCCCUGAAUAUUUGAUUCAUUUAUAGUUACUCCUUACCCAUUUAUUGUGUUUCUGAUACAAGAUUUUUAAACCCUGCAGUUUCAUUUUCUGUCUACUAUAAUUCUAGAGCAAAAAACAAAAUUGUGUGAUUAAGUUUCCUUAUUUGGGUAAUGAUUGUCCAUUUAAUGUGAGGUCAGUUGAAAUUCUAAAACCACGUGGCUUCAACAUUUCUGCAGCUAAAAUCUUUUUAGUAUCUGCUUUUGAAUGGCAUCCGGAUAAGAGCACGUGACACACCGUCUCCCAACUACCUAAGAUGAAAACUAACACAAUACAAAACUAGGGCACAAAAAUCUGGGGAGGGGUUGGGAGAGAGCGCUCAAGUAAUUACUUAGCAAACAAUGUUCAAUUGAAGGAAAUCAAUGUAGUUAUCCCUCAGGACAUCCAGAUGUCCUUCGUGAAAAGAGAAGCCACCAGAAAAAAAAUAAAGGAACACAAAAGACAGGUACUGAAUCUAUCUCAUGCCUCAAGAACUAAAGUGGACAGAAAAUUGGAAAGGUAUUCCUUUAACCUGUAUAACCUGGUUUUUGAGGUAUCCAAGUAGCGAUCUUUUUGUUCCCCCAGCAACCAUGUUUGUACAAACCACCAGUGAACAAUGAAGAAGUAAGUUAUAUGCAUAGUACCGAUGGGGGCAGGAAUAGAUAAAAAGGGCACUUUUUUUUUCUUAUUCACCUGAAGUUAUUUAUGCGGUAUUUUAUAUCGUAUAAAACACAAAUUAGGCAACAUUGUUUCUUUCCCAAGGACUUAACAUUUAUAUACCAGAAAGAAGGCAUAAGAGUCUAUCUUCCUGACUAAAA